GACGAACGCUGGCGGCGUGCUUAACACAUGCAAGUCGAACGGAAAGGCCCUGCUUUUGUGGGGUGCUCGAGUGGCGAACGGGUGAGUAACACGUGAGUAACCUGCCCUUGACUUUGGGAUAACUUCAGGAAACUGGGGCUAAUACCGGAUAGGAGCUCCUGCUGCAUGGUGGGGGUUGGUAAGUUUCGGCGGUUGGGGAUGGACUCGCGGCUUAUCCGCUUGUUGGUGGGGUAGUGGCUUACCAAGGCUUUGACGGGUAGCCGGCCUGAGAGGGGGACCGGCCACAAUGGGACUGAGAGACGGCCCAGACGCCUACGGGAGGCAGCAGUGGGGAAUAUUGCACAAUGGGCGGAAGCCUGAUGCAGCAACGCCGCGUGCGGGAUGACGGCCUUCGGGGUGUAAACCGCUUUCGCCGGUGACGAAGCGUGAGUGACGGUAAUGGGUAAAGAAGCACCGGCUAACUACGUG
rnacentral:rRNA from 1 species